UAGCAUGAUGUUUUUCAUGGAUGGCGUCGUGGAUUCGGCGUGAUUGAAGGCGGUUCGUGGAUUCGGAUCGUGGGCUCGUGAAUUCGAGUGGCGUUCGUGGAUUCGAACGUGUGCGAGGCGUUCGUGGAUUCGAAUGUGAGGGCGUUGACAACCCAGAGGAUUGCGCGAGAUUUGUAAGAGGUUAAGAGAGGUCGAGUCUGUGGAGUCGGUAAU
rnacentral:lncRNA from 1 species